GACGAACGCUGGCGGCGUGCUUAACACAUGCAAGUCGAACGGAAAGGCCCUGCUUUUGUGGGGUGCUCGAGUGGCGAACGGGUGAGUAACACGUGAGUAACCUGCCCUUGACUUUGGGAUAACUUCAGGAAACUGGGGCUAAUACCGGAUAGGAGCUCCUGCUGCAUGGUGGGGGUUGGAAAGUUUCGGCGGUUGGGGAUGGACUCGCGGCUUAUCAGCUUGUUGGUGGGGUAGUGGCUUACCAAGGCUUUGACGGGUAGCCGGCCUGAGAGGGUGACCGGGCCCAUUGGGGCCUGGGUACCGGCCCGACUUCUUACGGGGGGAGGCGGGGGGAAAUAUUCACAAUGGGCGGAAGCCUGAUGCAGCAACGCCGCGUGCGGGAUGACGGCCUUCGGGUUGUAAACCGCUUUCGCCUGUGACGAAGCGUGAGUGACGGUAAUGGGUAAAGAAGCACCGGCUAACUACGU
rnacentral:rRNA from 1 species